GCCUGAUGCAGCCAUGCCGCGUGUGUGAAGAAGGCCUUCGGGUUGUAAAGCACUUUCAGCGGGGAGGAAGGCGGUGAGGUUAAUAACCUCGUCGAUUGACGUUACCCGCAGAAGAAGCACCGGCUAACUCCGUGCCAGCAGCCGCGGUAAUA
rnacentral:rRNA from 1 species